UACGGAGGUGGCAAGCGUUGUUCGGAAUUACUGGGCGUAAAGCGCGUGUAGGCGGCCCUGCAAGUCGGAUGUGAAAUCCCACGGCUCAACCGUGGAAGUGCAUUCGAAACUGCAGGGCUAGAGUCCUGGAGAGGAAGGUGGAAUGCUUGGUGUAGAGGUGAAAUUCGUAGAUAUCAAGCGGAACACCGGUGGCGAAGGCGGCCUUCUGGACAGUGACUGACGCUGAGACGCGAAAGCGUGGGGAGCAAACAGG
rnacentral:rRNA from 1 species